GCGAGCGUAGUUCAACGGUAGAACAUAAUUGAUAAUGCUAUAUUUGUGGCGCCUCCACAGUUUCAUUUAUUAAUGCAGGUUCGACUCCUGCCGCUCGCG
rfam:Lactobacillus fabifermentans T30PCM01 genomic scaffold scaffold24, whole genome shotgun sequence.